rnacentral:rRNA from 1 species
AUACGGAGGAUCCGAGCGUUAUCCGGAUUUAUUGGGUUUAAAGGGUGCGCAGGCGGCCAUUUAAGUCAGCUGUGAAAGUUUGGGGCUCAACCUUAAAAUUGCAGUUGAUACUGGUUUCCUUGAGUACGGUACAGGUGGGCGGAAUUCGUGGUGUAGCGGUGAAAUGCUUAGAUAUCACGAAGAACUCCGAUCGCGAAGGCAGCUCACCGGGCCGGAACUGACACUGAUGCUCGAAAGUGUGGGUAUCAAACAGGAUUAGAUACCCUGGUAGUCCGCACAGUAAACGAUGAAUACUCGCUGUUUGCGAUACACUGUAAGCGGCCAAGCGAAAGCGUUAAGUAUUCCACCUGGGGAGUACGCCGGCAACGGUGAAACUUAAAGGAAUGGACGGGG